rnacentral:rRNA from 1 species
AUUGAACGCUGGCGGCAUGCUUUACACAUGCAAGUCGAACGGCAGCGGGGGCUUCGGCCUGCCGGCGAGUGGCGAACGGGUGAGUAAUGCAUCGGAACGUGCCCAUGUCGUGGGGGAUAACGUAGCGAAAGCUACGCUAAUACCGCAUACGUCCUGAGGGAGAAAGCGGGGGGAUCUUCGGACCUCGCGCGAUUGGAGCGGCCGAUGUCGGAUUAGCUAGUUGGUGGGGUAAAGGCCCACCAAGGCGACGAUCCGUAGCGGGUCUGAGAGGAUGAUCCGCCACACUGGGACUGAGACACGGCCCAGACUCCUACGGGAGGCAGCAGUGGGGAAUUUUGGACAAUGGGCGCAAGCCUGAUCCAGCCAUGCCGCGUGAGUGAAGAAGGCCUUCGGGUUGUUAAAGGCUCUUUCGGCCGGGAACGGAAAGUACGUGUUCGUCUACAUAGGACAUGGAUGACGGUACCGGACGUAAGAAGCACCGGCUAACUACGUGCCAGCAGCCGCGGUAA